CUCUGAUGUCAGCCUCCCCUUCCAGAGUGGGUGCUCUUUUCCGGUGCGAACAGACAAGUUGAAAUAUGUUAAUUUGUUCGUCACAAUAAUGUGUAGUGUUAUCUUUGACAGUCAUGGGACUGAGAAAGCCUGCCAUCAAGUCAUCCACAGAGUAAUCAGAGAAAGGAAUUGAGGGCUGGGGUCACUGAAGAAGCUGCUCAGACAAGUCGGGAUUUGAGCUGCGCCUGGAAGGAUGGUGGGCUUUGGAGGUGGGGGCAGGGCUGAUUCCACUGAGGACACCCGUGCGGCACACAGCCAGUGAGGGCCCAAGGCCUGUGUGUCAGCAGUGGAAGGACAGUCGACAGGUGAAAAUCAGCAUGUCUCUGGAGGUGACGUGUGGGAGCAGCUCGAGGCAGGGAGAGGGAAAUGAGCCUUGUGUCUGGCCACUGUCUGGAGUGGCAUGUCUGGAGUUGAUGAAUGCUUGUGGAGAUGACAUAAAAAUAAAAAUAUCCCU